AGUGAACGCUGGCGGUAGGCCUAACACAUGCCAGUCGAACGGCAGCACAGUAAGAGCUUGCUCUUACGGGUGGCGAGUGGCGGACGGGUGAGGAAUACAUCGGAAUCUACUUUUUCGUGGGGGAUAACGUAGGAAAACUUACGCUAAUACCGCAUACGACCUACGGGUGAAAGCAGGGGAUCUUCGGACCUUGCGCGAUUGAAUGAGCCGAUGUCGGAUUAGCUAGUUGGCGGGGUAAAGGCCCACCAAGGCGACGAUCCGUAGCUGGUCUGAGAGGAUGAUCAGCCACACUGGAACUGAGACACGGUCCAGGCUCCUGCGGGAGGCAGCAGUGGGGAAUAUUGGACAAUGGGCGCAAGCCUGAUCCAGCCAUACCGCGUGGGUGAAGAAGGCCUUCGGGUUGUAAAGCCCUUUUGUUGGGAAAGAAAAGCAGCAGGUUAAUACCCCGCUGUUCUGACGGUACCCAAAGAAUAAGCACCGGCUAACUUCGUG
rnacentral:rRNA from 1 species